rnacentral:rRNA from 1 species
UACAGAGGUGGCAAGCGUUGUUCGGAAUUACUGGGCGUAAAGGGCGCGUAGGCGGUCCGAUAAGUCCCAUGUGAAAUCCCUCGGCUCAACUGAGGAAUGGCACGGGAAACUGCCGGGCUUGAGUUCGGGAGAGGGAAGCGGAAUUCCGGGUGUAGCGGUGAAAUGCGUAGAUAUCCGGAGGAACACCGGUGGCGAAGGCGGCUUCCUGGACCGACACUGACGCUGAGGCGCGAAAGUCAGGGGAGCAAACGGG